rnacentral:rRNA from 1 species
CAAUAGCGUAUAUUAAAGUUGUUGCAGUUAAAAAGCUCGUAGUUGAAGAUACGAACGCUUACACUAGAACAAAGUUUCCGGUGUCUGCGUUCACUUUUCGCAAAGACAGCCUGGCCCAUUAGUUUGGGUCUUGUUUGAGUUGCGUCAUUUACUGUGAACAAAUUAGGGUGUUUAAAGCAGGCCUACGUUUGAAUACACUAGCAUGGAAUAAUAAGAUAUGAUCUUGGUCGUAUUUUGUUGGUGACUACCAAGAUAAUGAUUGAUAGAAACUGUUGUGGGUAUUCGUAUGAGCAUGUCAGAGGUGAAAUUCUUGGAUUUUGAUCAGACGAACUACUGCGAAGCAUUUACCAAGGAUGUUUUCAUUAA